rnacentral:rRNA from 2 species
AGCAGCCGCGGUAAUUCCAGCUCCAAUAGCGUAUAUUAAAGUUGUUGCAGUUAAAAAGCUCGUAGUUGAAUUUCGGGAUCAAGGAAUCGGUCAUGCCUUGGUAUGUACUGGUUUUAUUGGUUCUCACCUUCUAAAGAACCAUAAUGUCAUUCAUUUGAUGUUAUGGGGAAUUAGGACUGUUACCUUGAAAAAAUUAGAGUGUUUAAAGCAGGCUUACGCUUGAAUACAUUAGCAUGGAAUAAUGAAAUAGGACAUCAGAUUCUAUUUUGUUGGUUUCUAGGAUCGAUGUAAUGAUUAAUAGGGAUAGUUGGGGGCAUUAGUAUUCAAUUGUCAGAGGUGAAAUUCUUGGAUUUAUUGAAGACUAACUACUGCGAAAGCAUUUGCCAAGGAUGUUUUCAUUAAUCAAGAACGAAAGUUAGGGGAUCGAAGACGAUCAGAUACCGUCGUAGUCUUAACCAUAAACUAUGCCGACUAGGGAUCGGAUGAUGUUAAUUUUAUAAUGACUCAUUCGGCACCUUACG